rnacentral:piRNA from 1 species
UUCAAAUGAGCAAUUUGGGUGUUGUAAGU